UUAAUAGUAAGUUAAUGAUAUUAGUAUUUUUUUAUUUUUUGGAAACUUCAAGUGUACCAGUAGUAGGUAUUUCUAUUUACAAAAUAUACAAUAUUUACAACGUGUAUCUCCAAAGAUUUUGGAUUUGGAUACCCUGUGUGAUACUGUUGGGUCAAACCUCAUGUUUCACCAUUGUUAUAAAAGAGGGUAACUUUGUUGCUUAGUUUUCUGUACACCAUUGUAUUCACAAAGAAUAUCUGAUUAAACUAAUCUGAUCUACAUUAGAACUAUUUAAAUGAUCUUAACUUGUUCAUAGAU
rnacentral:lncRNA from 1 species